rnacentral:piRNA from 1 species
UCCUUCUGCACGAUGUUGAGCUCCGCGAUC